rnacentral:rRNA from 1 species
AUUGAACGCUGGCGGCAGGCCUAACACAUGCAAGUCGAACGAGUGGCGGACGGGUUAGUAAUGUCUGGGAAACUGCCUGAUGGAGGGGGAUAACUACUGGAAACGGAAGCUAAUACCGCAUACCAUCAGAUGUGCCCAGAUGGGAUUAGCUAGUAGGUGGGGUAACGGCGCACCUAGGCGACGAGCCCUAGCUGGUCUGAGAGGAUGACCAGCCACGCUGGGACUGGGACACGGUCCAGACUCCUACGGGAGGCAGCAGUGGGGAAUAUUGCACCAUGGGCGCAAGCCGGAUGCAGCCAUGCCGCGUGUAGGAAGAAGGCCUUCGGGUUGUAAAGUACUUUCAGCGGGGAGGCGUUACCCGCACAAGAAGCACAGGCUAACUCCGUGCCAGCAGCCGCGGUAAUUC